GCACAUUGUUUUGAAUAGGUGUUCCUGACAGAAUUAGUCGAUGAUAGGACCUUAAACUUUUAACCGCUUUUGUGAGCUUAGCUCGUGCAUUUUUUAUAACAUGACCCUCGUCAAGAACACAGUAGUUCCAGUCAAUUUUUACUAAUUCAUCCACAUCAUUCCGACAUAUGUCAUAAGACGUGACAACAACAUCGGACUUCUUCAUUUUUGAUCUUAUUUUUGCUCUUUCCGCUGGAGGUCCUACAUAUGCAGACACUUUCAAAAAUGGUGCAUAAGUACUAAGUUCUUGCUGCCAAUGGCCGGCUAAUGUAGAUGGACACACUAUCAACGAAGGAACGUGAGCAAACUUGGGACUUCCUGAUUCUUCAAAUAAUUUUUGGCGGUUAUAAUGAUCACUUGCGACUAUACAAAUAGUUUGCAAAGUCUUACCCAACCCCAUAUCAUCACAUAAAAUCCCAUGAAGUUCAUACUUAUUUAAGAAAGCCAGCCAAUUAACACCUUCCUGUUGAUAUUUCCUUAAAUCAGCAGAGAUGGGGACAGGAAUUGAGAAUGCUUCGACCUUAGAAGGAUUCAGCAUUUGUUCUAAAAAUUUGCGCUCCUUUUCACGACUAUCAAGUAGAUAUUGAGGCAAGUCUGGCGGAUCAGGAAGUCCAGCUUCAAGUGGUACUAAUUUAACAAGUGUUGCAAAGGAAGUCGUAGCUAGCACACGUACAUCCUGGUCAGCAUCACUCAUUCGACCUAACAAGGGAAUAAUUAAGUAAAGUAUGUAGGGAAGGAUACGGACUCCUAGACGUUGAACAACAUGAUAUAUGCACUCAAUAGCUCCUUGUCUGUGGAUUGUGCUACUAGCAUCUCCUAAAAGUGGAACAACAUCCUCAACAAGAAGAUGAAGAGCCUUUGAUCCCGCAGCAUUUGAUUCAGUAAUAGCAGCAAAGCAUUUUGAUGCCAUAUUGCGUACGGCGGAAUAAUUCGAUUGUAAAGUUGCUAGUAAAUGAGGCAAAGUACUGACAAUUUCAGAUUGAAGACCGGAAUCUAAGUACGCAACUAAAAAUCGCAAUAUAGACAUUGCAUCCAGUAAGUCUUGCCCAACUGUACAGCUGGCCUGGUCAACUUCACUAGGAAAUCCAGAUUCAGCGUAUUGCUGUAAAGGAACAAAUAGACACUGGGACAACACGGGUACCCUAGAAAAUAGGGAGCUGCCAAAAUUUUGAGCCAUUUGUUGAAGCGUUAGCUGCGCACCCAUUCUUUGUAAGACAGCAGCAUCCUUAUCCGAAACUGAAGACAGCGAAGACUUUCUGUCGUUACUUACAUCAUCGGAAUCAUCAACUAACUUCCCUGAGACCUGUUCAUCGUUGUCAUCGCUUGUGCCUAUACUAUGU